UAGUGUAAAAAAUAGUUUUAGUGUUUAUGGCUCAGAUUACAGACUUGUCUUUUCUGCAUUAAUGACAUGAUGAUUCAUUGCUUUAGCACUCAAAUGGAAAAACCGUGAAGUGAAAAGGAAAGAAUUGCAUAUAUACAGUGCACGUUAUACAAUCAGACUGUCAAAGCAGUGUAUUUCAGUAGUAACAGAAGAACAAUCAUACAUAAAAUCCCUGUGAGAGAUGAACCCUGUUAACAAAAAACAAAAGAAAGAAACUGCCAUCCAGUGGCGUCGUAGUGAUACUUGAUUCACAUCUUAUUAUGUUAACAACAUUUAAAUGCUGAUGGCUGUAUAAUACAAAAGUUCACAUUAACUUGCUUUCUUCCUGAUUCAGGUCCAAACCACAUCUGCGCCGGACAGAAACGGAUGAAUGACAGUUUCAGGGUCACACCCUCUGAUGUCCGUUGAACUGCCCAGUGGGUAAGAAAGGAUGCAGUUCUUUCUCAUUCCAGGACGAAGGGUUGUUUCUUUGCAUCUCUGUCACAAGUCAAGAAAAGGCAUAAAUAAUGAUUAAUUGAUGUGUUACAAACUAUUUAGAAUAACCUUUGGUUUGCCUGGUUGUGAAAAAAAAACUGUGCUUUUUACUUAUUUUUUAAUAACAAAGUUAUAAUGUUGCUGAUUGAAAAAUACAUUACAGUUCUGAAUGUUUACAAAGUGGUUAUUUAAACACAUCAAUGAAUGGCUUUAAAAUAUAAGGUGUAUUUAACAAUUUGGUGAGCCAAAAUAUGCCUUAGUGAUGGCCUAACUGAGCAAUAGAAUCAAAUUGUUAGUUUAAAUUAAGUCAUCAGUAAACAACUUAUAAAGCAUUUGGGGCUUUUUUAAAAGUGGUACCAAAAGUUGACAUUGUAUAAAGUAUUAUUUUGUAAAUGAGGGGCUAUUACUUGACAGCAACAAUGCAAUUUUAUUUACAUAGCAGUUAUUAAUGUCACGUCAAACAUUGCAUGCAGCACCCAAAUGAUAAUCAUGUACACUACCAGUCAAAAGUUUGGACCCACCUUCUCAUUCAAUGCUUUUUAUUUAAUUAUUU
ensembl:lncRNA